ensembl:snRNA U1 U1 spliceosomal RNA
AUACUGACCUGGCAGGGGAGAUACCAUGAUCAACAAGGCGGUUCAUCCAGGGCGAGGCUCAGCCAUUGCACUCAGACUGUGCCGACCCCUGCAAAUUUCCCAAAUGUGGGAAUCAUGACUGCAUAAUUUCUGGUAGUGGGGGACCGUGUUUGCAUGGGUCAGUG